rnacentral:rRNA from 1 species
UACGAAGGGGGGCUAGCGUUGCUCGGAUUUACUGGGCGUAAAGGGCGCGUAGGCGGACAGUUAAGUUGGGGGGUGAAAGCCCGGGGCUCAACCUCGGAAUUGCCUUCAAUACUGGCUGUCUUGAGUGUGAGAGAGGUGUGUGGAACUCCGAGUGUAGAGGUGAAAUUCGUAGAUAUUCGGAAGAACACCAGUGGCGAAGGCGACACACUGGCUCACUACUGACGCUGAGGCGCGAAAGCGUGGGGAGCAAACAGG